CUGUUUCUCUCAAAGCUAUGUAGAAACUUUAAUUUGAUGCAAAAGUUUCCACAACUUCAGGCUUCUGCAAUGCUUGCUCUCUGUAAACUAACGAUCAUUGAUGCAGACUUUUGCGAAGCAAAUCUUCAACUUUUGUUCACUGUUCUGGAGAAUGCGCCAUCAGAAACUGUUCGAUCCAACUGCACAUUCAUACUAAGUUUGGAAUGAAAAAUAAUAAUGACAAUCACAUACCAACAUACAUACUAAAUAGGCUAAAACAACUUACAUAAAAAAGGAACAUAAUUCAUAAAAUCAAAGUUUUGCAAUUAGUACAUGUUUCUAGCAAAAUAUGACCACAUUCAU